AAGAAACUAGUCAACGUGCUGGAUGCUGUUUUCAAGCCUGAAGUUCGCUGAUCCAGAGCAGGUUUUCUACAAGCAUGUCUAAAGCCCAACAGCUGAGGGACAGGCUGAAACAACUGCCAACAGCUGCUGAUGAAGAAGUAUUUGAAUUGUUAGCAGGAUUGAUCGCAAACUAUGAAGAAGAAAUUCAUUGUUUAAAAGAAGAGAACAAAGGACGGAAAGUUCUGGAAGCUGCUUUUAAUCCUCGAGUUCGCUUGUACAAAGCAGGCUUUGACCCGUUCUGGCAUCGAACUGGCAGAUCUUCGUCUGUGGGAUUUCAGCCCAGGAAGCACUCAAGUUGAACAAAUCUGCCUUUGACCUUGGUUUCCCUGGCUUUUUUCGCACAACUCUGUCCAGUAUGGCCCAAAGGUGUUCAGUGGGAUCCAUAUCGGGGGACUGACUCGGCCAUGGAAGACAUUUGAUGUGAUUUUUGUCCUGCCACUCCUUGGUCUUUUUAGCUGUGUGGCAUGGGGCACUAUCCUGCAUAAAUAAGGUGUUUUUCUUUACCAUCUGAUGACUUGAAAAUAUUGUUAGAUGUCCUUGGCGAAGGAAGGAAAUGUAUUUUUCUGUAGCUUUGCAAUGGGGAUUUUUUUCAACAGUCAACUUCACAGACCGAAAGCACCUCUCAGAAGGUCCUGGUCGACCUGGGCAGGAUGAUGUUGUCUCUUUGCCUUCGCUUGUGAACUGUACAAUCACCCGGUUGACUGUGGCAAGAGGUAUCUUAAGGUUUUGUGAAAUCUGAAUCUGGUUUUGUGAAAUCUGAAGCUGGCUAAGUCCACCCUCUGAUUGACCCACAAUCCGCCCUAAUUCCGCCAUAAUAAAUUCGUUAAUUCUUGUGCUCCCUGUGUCCGCAGCAUCGCUAUCUGCUUAAAUGGAAUUAUUCACUGUAUUCUGAAAUGAAAAAUGACAACAUUGCAAAA